rnacentral:rRNA from 1 species
CAGCAGCCACGGUAAUACGUAGGUGGCAAGCGUUGUCCGGAAUUAUUGGGCGUAAAGGGCUCGCAGGCGGUUUCUUAAGUCUGAUGUGAAAGCCCCCGGCUCAACCGGGGAGGGUCAUUGGAAACUGGGAAACUUGAGUGCAGAAGAGGAGAGUGGAAUUCCACGUGUAGCGGUGAAAUGCGUAGAGACGUGGAGGAACACCAGUGGCGAAGGCGACUCUCUGGUCUGUAACUGACGCUGAGGAGCGAAAGCGUGGGGAGCGAACAGGAUUAGAUACCCCUGUAGUCCCUGUCUCUUAUAC